rnacentral:rRNA from 1 species
CAGCCGCCACGGGAAUACGAAGGGGGCUAGCGUUGUUCGGAUUUACUGGGCGUAAAGGGUGCGUAGGCGGAUUGUUAAGUCAGGGGUGAAAUCCCGAGGCUCAACCUCGGAACUGCCUUUGAUACUGGCGAUCUUGAGUCCGGGAGAGGUGAGUGGAACUGCGAGUGUAGAGGUGAAAUUCGUAGAUAUUCGCAAGAACACCGGUGGCGAAGGCGGCUCACUGGCCCGGUACUGACGCUGAUGCACGAAAGCUUGGGGAGCAAACAGGAUUAGAUACCCCGGUAGUCCCUGUCUCUUAUAC